rnacentral:rRNA from 1 species
UACAGAGGGUGCAAGCGUUGUUCGGAAUUACUGGGCGUAAAGAGUGUGUAGGCGGUGCUCUAAGUUCGUUGUGAAAUCUCCCGGCUUAACUGGGAGGGUGCGGCGGAAACUGGAGUGCUUGGGCGCGGGAGAGGAAAGCGGAAUUCCUGGUGUAGCGGUGAAAUGCGUAGAUAUCAGGAGGAACACCUGUGGUGUAGACGGCUUUCUGGACCGUAGCUGACGCUGAGACACGAAAGCGUGGGUAGCAAACAGG